rnacentral:misc_RNA from 1 species
AACGCAAGUUGCGCCCGAAGCCUUCUGGCCGAGGGCACGCCUGCCUGGGCGUCACGCAUCGCGUCUCCCCCAACCCGCGCACAGCGGGGCGGAGGAGGAGGAUGGCCUCCCACGCCUCACCGGGCGUGGAUGGCCUAAAUAAGGAGCCCCCGGUUACGAACUGCCGCGGCGAUAGGUGGUAGACAGGGCCUUAAAAAUCCCAGGAUGCAUCGCGUCGCGCAGCACGUAGCUCCCGAGGCCUCGAAGGACCCCAAGUUGUCUCCCUUAACCGGGACGGCAAAACCGUUGCGACCCCAGGUCAGGCGGGGCUACCCGCUGAGUUUAA